CAGGGAUGGCAUUAGCAAAAGAGACUCAAUGAGGAUGAGAAAACAGAGAUGACAGAGACCCAAAUAACAUUUGAAUUGGACUCUACCUGCAAGUGGAGCUUUACCAUCCAGGUUCUUCUUGGUACUCCACUCCCAUUUGCACAUUAAAGAUUGUAAGAGAGUUGGAACUUUGGACAUGGAUGGACCUCUCCCAGUAAAUCUAGAAGGCAUUCAUUCCAACAGCAUACAAAACAAUACUGGUGGGUGCCCACGCCACAACACUAUGGCACCAUAAAUAUACUGCUAUAGGAAAAGUUUGAUUUCCAGCCAUUGAACUUGACAUUGAAAUUCCAGCCUGGGUGCAGUAGGGUGAGCCUGUAGUCCCAGCUACUCUGGAGACUGAGGCAGGAAGAGCACUUGAGUCCAGGAGUUCAAAUCCAGUCUGAGCAGUAUAAUGAGACCCCCUUCUCUAAAAAACAAAUAAAUACAUACAUUGGCAUCAAACUUUCCCAUUUUGGCCACGCUUCACAUGCGACACAUAUAGAAGUACACAGCAGCUUCCCCCCUUACCUG
rnacentral:lncRNA from 1 species